AAUCUGACUAGGAACCAUGAGGUUGUGGGUUCAAUCCCUGGCCUUUCUCAGUGGGUUAAAGAUUUGGCAUUGCCAUGAGCUGUGGUAUAGGUUGCAGACGAGGCUCAGAUCUGGCGUUGCUGUGGCUGUGGUGUGGGCCGGCAGCAACAGCUCUGAUUAGACCCCUAGCCUGGGAACCUCCAUAUGCCAGUGGGUGUGGCCCUAAAAAGACAAAAUAAAUAAAUAAAUAAAUAAAAAUUUAAAAAGACAAAAACAUAAAACUAAAAAUAAAUAAAACAUCAUGUUUGAUUACAUCGCCUCUUCAACUGGGGGAGGGGAGCAAGAGGAGAGGAGGAAAGAAUGUUUUCCUCUGGUCAUUUUCUCCAGAAUAAAAUGCUAAUUCCUUGACCUUCAAAAAAGACAAAGGGGGAUGUGGAAUGAGUCUUCUUUCCCUCAUAAGCCAACUCGAAUUGAUCUGUGUUGACCAAAUGGAGCACAACAUGGGAAAGGACUCUAAGGCUGUAUCCAGAAUUCCUGGAAAGGAUGACCAGGAUCAGUUGGUCAAGUCUUUCAUGAGCAUUGGCAUCGGGCAAUAGGACACCCAUGCCUCCUAAGGGCAACCCCACUUCUGGGCCUUCCAUCCUUUGACCCAGCAUCACCUUUUAGCACUAAAACUCUCCAAUCUCUUGCUUAAAAAAAAAUACAGGAGACCACAAACCUGCUGUAUGGCCACCUACUUCUGUACUUUAUUCAUUCCUCCUCCCCGUAAUGAUUAAGCUACACAUCUGCAAAUUCAACCUAUUUCUCAAGGCCCUAUUUCUCAAUUCCAUCUCCUCCCUAGAAACAUACUUAUUUUCCCCAGAGCAAAAAAUAUCUCCCCGAAACUCCUUAAUUGGUAGCUCCGCUCUGAUUUCAAAGAAAGUUGCUUCCUUUCCAUAAGCAACUCAAUGGCAGGAGACAAACCAUAUGGCUUGUCCAGUAUUUUGCACGUGGUAGACAAAUAUUUGCCCGAUGAAUGAGUGGAUAUUCACAUGCAAUAUGUGUCCCUAAUAAGGAGGCCAUCCACCAGUUAUUUUUCAAUUAGGUUAAUAAUGCAAGUAUCACAAUUGAAUCAUUGGCUAAUUAUUAGCAAUCAAAGCUAUACAGAAAUGCAAGCUGAGUUCCAACUCACCUGCCCUUCCCCUUAUACUAAAGCCCUGGGAACUUUAUUAUUGAGCAUUCCAGUCAUUUCUCUCGCCGCUCCCUAAGAGCACAUGUGUGGAAAAUAAUUGAACCUCUCCAGGGCCUGGGCUCUACAGUGGCAGACAGCGAAGGCUUGGAGAGUUGUCUUGGCAGCACGACGCCAUUUGGGGAAUGUAUGCUCAUGUUGCUACAGAUGGCAUGUUGUUCAGUUUACCCCCUGCAAGUUCAUGUUUAUUGUUCUCCCUCUGGUUUUCCAAGAUGCAAAAAUUAGUUGACUCAGAGCACCACCAAAAUAAAAGUAAAAACAAUACAUACCCUAAGAACAUUAAAAGGAAGGUGGUGGAUGGUGAUCCUUGAGCCCUGUUUUAAGAACUGGUCAUCUCUUGAUGUCACCUGUGUGUGACUCAGGUGGUCCCCUAAUCUGAUUGAGUAUCAAAAUCUACCAGCGAAAUUUUUUUUCCCUGAAAAUGCGUGGAGAUUCCUGGGCCCCAUACUGAGGCCUCUGAAUUUCUGAUUUAUGUCGAUCUGGGAUGAGAGCUUGAAAUACAUACUUUAGAACAAUCUUACCAGGCGAUUCUGAUGUACAGAUGCGUUUGGAAGCCAAUGGUAUGGAGGAGGGGAUGUGCAGAGAACGAGGCCACUGUAAAGACCGAGAAGCACUGUGUUUGCCCAUCUGGCCUUGGAGCCUGUGUGCAAGGCUGCCUCUUGGUUCAGCAAGGCAGGGUGGUCUCUUCCAGGUGGGUUCUCCAAUUGAGUCUGCUAGAAGCAUCACCAGGAGACACUGCUAAUCAAGUAGAUUCCCAGGCCCAGGCCUCCUCAUUCUGGGUUAAUCAUCUUUGAGGAUCUGGGAAUUUGCGUGUCUAACACCCUUCAUGGAAACCUGAUGCACAUGUGUGUGUGUGUGGGGGGGGGGUUCCCCUGCCUUUACAGACUUGGGUCCAAGCCUAGCUUUGGAGUUGGCCAAUACCAGCACUGUGAGCCUUUAGGGAUGGCCCCAAGUCCCCCCUCCCACUGCUUCAGCACAGAAAGCAGUCUUCCUGACCCAACACCAUCAGUAGAAACAGCUGCGAUGUCUUGGUUUCUUGGCAUACACAGCUAUUGAGAGCCUUCCAUCCUGAAAGGCACAAGGACUUCCUUGCCUAAGGGAGCGAAACUUGGACCAGCGGCAAGUCUCUCUCUCACUCUCACCAAAUGAGACCUUGGGCUUUUGAGAAAGCAGGAGCUAUGCCUGUGUUCACCUCAUAUCCCAAACUGUUAAGGCUCUACCUCCUCUCUGACCACAGUCCGAGCAGCAGGAGAGAGAAUAAGAGCACCCCCACCCGGUGAGGGCCAGGGUGCUCCCUGCAGUGCUUUCUGAUCAGCAGCUGUGCUGGGCUCUUGUGUAAAGGUAGGUGUCCCUACCUGGAGCUCCAUGUCAUUUUGGCAGGCCUCGUGGUCCUGAGGCCCUGAAGACCCAAGCCCCUCUCCACCAGCAUCUCUGAACCUUCCUUCUAGGUGGCUGCCAGGCCACCCCUCUGGGCUCCCAGAACAGGUCUGCCGACCAAAGAGGUGGGCGGUGAGGGGUUAGAGGUGAUGCAGCCCUCAGGACCGAAGGUGUGCCUGAUGGACGCCUGGCCAGCAAAUAGCAUAGGGCAGCAUAAUGAGGGUGGGCCAGUUGUCAUGGCAACUCCCCACCCCUUCUAAAAGUCUGGCCACAGUGGGAACCAGUCUCAUUUCAGCUAUCCAAAGUGGGCUGUUUUUUCAGGAAUCAUGCUACAACCUCCUUUCCAUUCCAUGUCCCUGGUGGAUGAGCAUCCUUAAAACUCCUGGUAACCAUAAAAUCUUCCAUGCUUGAUGGACAGAAGCCUCUGGGUUGGCAGAGAGAUCUCCUGGCUUCGGCUGGGCUCCCGUGUUCACUGGCAGUCCCCUGAAGGUGGGGUGGGCAGCUGUCCUUAUCUUGGCUGGGUUCUCCCAUGUGUCUGCAGGUCAGCAGGUUGAAGGAUGAUUUAUGAUGUCCUCAAGCCAGCACAAAUGGCAACUGAUUCCUCCACGUGGCCACUAUUCUUCCGCUAGUGAAUAGCAUCAUCCUAUGUUUGUCUUCUGGGAGACAGGGUGCUGAAAGAGAGAAGAAUCAACCAAAGGUUCUUGAGGCCCAGCCUCUGAACAGGCCCCUUCAUUUCUGCCACAUUCUACUAGUCAAAGGAAGUCAUGGGACCAGUCCAGAUUUUCAAGGGCGGGGAAGAAAAUAGAUUCCUUCUCCUCAAGGAGAAAGAUGCAAGGCCAUAUUUAAAACCACACAUGGAUGUAGAGAAAGGAAGAAUUGGGGCCAUUUGGUAACAUUUUACCACAAUGCGGACAGGUUCGGUGUUGCAAAACCAUUCUCUUUAAAAGUCCCAUGGACUCACUUUGCAAUAUAUUACCAAUAUUAGAACAAAUUUCAAAUUAUGUUAAUGCCCAAUGAGUGAGUAAAGGAGUGAAUGAAGGAAUAAAUGAAUGACUUUAGUCCCUCAGACGCCACAUAUGGAUUGAGCACCCCCUCCCCCUGCGUCCCCUCCUUUGCAUAGUUCAGAGUUCCAGUCCCCACUCCUCCCUCCCAGAGUCCCACCACAUUGGAAGCUCCCGUGAUUCGAGACUCAGGGCUUUUCCAAGGCCAGCAGGGUGAAGUCAGGUCAGCAGGAAUGUGGUCCAGGCAUUGUAACCCAAUGCCAGGGAGAUGCCGCAAACCACACGGAGCUGGGCAGCCUAGGACUCCCCGCCCCGGGCUCCGUAGUCCCGGAAGUUGCUGAGCCUGGAGAAUAAGCACAGUGUCCUUUAUAAAAACAAGUGGCACCAGUGAGGCCAACCGGGGAACGUGGAACAUAAACAUGAAUUGUCCCUGGGAAAGUGAUCCUAACAACCGCCGCAGAGGAGAAGCUGUCAGGGAGGAGUUGUCAGUAGGUGGGGAACAGGGGGUCCUCUAGGGGGCACUCUAGAGCCUUCCGCACUCUGUCUCACUGGACUACAGGACUGCAGGCUUAACAGCUGUGUGAUUUCUAAUUUGCCCUCUUCCGUGUCUCACUGUUGAAUGGUUGUCUCCAUAUUCCAGUUGGGGACGUUAAUGUCCCCUGUUCACCAGGUGGAUGUAGGUUGUUGAUCCUGGGAGCGCGGGGUGGGGAGGGCUCCAUCUAAAAGGUAGGACCCCCUCAGUGCGCUAAGAGGCCAGGAACCUGGAGCUACCACACCCCCCUACAGGCUUGGAAACUGCCUCUUCUCCUCCCUCACUGUGCCCAUCCCGGUGGCACUCUUGCCUCUGGCGCCUAGCGGAACCCCCGGUUUUGGGUUUGGGUUUGGGGUUUCACUGGUAUAUCCUAAAAGCAUCCCGAGGAUUUGCUAGCUCUGAGUGGAGGCAGCGUCUCUCUUUCCUUUCCAAAAAGCCAGCAGGGGGAGCAGCAAAGCCCCUGGGCCUUGUUUUAAUUUUAUUUUUAACGUCUGUCUUUUGCAUACAUUAUACAUAAUCCCCUCAUCCCCCACAUGACUGUGAUCAAUUUGUUCUUUUAGGAAAUAAGACGG
rnacentral:lncRNA from 1 species